UAUUUUAAUUUAGUUCGGCCGCCUAUAUAUGAAGGGAGAGAGGGAGGCUGGGAGAGUGCUUGCCUUCGGAUAUGUAAACUGCCCUACUUUUCAUUGUCAUCGUAGCUUUACCUUUUUUAUAUAUAUUAUGUUUGAUCUAGAUUUGAUGGUUUUUCUUUUUCGUUAGUGUCUUUGUCCAUGGACAUCACUGUUGGAUUUUUUGUUGUGUCUCUCUGCCACUUGGGUUUGUCACCGACAUCUGUACCUUGUCAUGAUAGAGAGAGAGAGAGAGAGAAAGACAAGUGAACCUGCCAUAAGACCAGUGAGUGGAUGUUGAUGAUAAGAAAGAGGGAGAGAAGGAGUUCUUCUUCUACUUCUUUCUUUGAUUCUUCUUUCAACGUUUUGGGUUUUGGUUUUGUGAGAGAAAUAAAACCCUUUUUCUGGACACGUAGUUGAUUCUAAUACUGAAAAAGGCAUGGAUCGUCGAUUUUGAGGUGAGUAAAGAAGAGACUACUUGGACUUGGAUUUCUAAUGGAGAGAUGGUCAAAUUAUGGGAUCCUCAAAUGUCAGCCUGUCUGCAAAUAUCCAGAAUUAGCAGAUGAAGUUCAUAUAAUAAGCUGUACUUCAAGUUUCGCACUAGAUAUCAUGUCUUGAUAGAGAUCAAUUAUCUGCACGGAUUCAUGACAAUUGCACGAUAUGGGAGCAUGAUGGUGCUUGGAACCAUGUUGGAAUCCUUGGUUUUUUACUUCAAAACUUUUUCAAUGAAGAAGAUGCAACGAAAUUAAGUGUUGUACAUGGAGGUGAUGUGUGCACAUUGCAUGGCCUGAAUUCUUGCCAAUGUAAGUACUAAACUUCAACAACUAAAACUUUUUCAUUGGUGGAGUACAUUCUAAAUAUCAAUUUUAGAUAGAAAAGUUUAUAGUGCUUCACUUUGUCGACUUCAAGAGCAAGCAUUAUCUUUGUUAUCCGGACCAACUGCAUCGGAUAUAGGUAUAAACGUUCAAGUUUUCCUUUGAAUGUUUUUGGUAGGUAUAUUUAGAAGAUCAUAUCCCAUACUCAUAUUCAAGUGUGGGGACUUUGUUGUGGGCGGGAAAUCGAUGCCUAUAUUCGAGCACUAGACAUAGAAGUUAUUACACAGUUACAUAAAUAAGGUGGUGAUGGUUGUUUUGUGUUGGAUGAAAAUGGUAUUGUCAAAAGCUGGAAGUUGCUAUCAACUCACUCAUUCUUAAUGAUUAAGAUGAUAAGUAAACAUCGAAGUUCAAUCUGA